CCUACGGGUGGCUGCAGUGGGGAAUAUUGGACAAUGGGGGGAACCCUGAUCCAGCCAUGCCGCGUGUGUGAAGAAGGCCCUCGGGUUGUAAAGCACUUUCAGUGAGGAAGAACGCCUGGUGGUUAAUACCCAUCAGGAAAGACAUCACUCACAGAAGAAGCACCGGCUAACUCCGUGCCAGCAGCCGCGGUAAUACGGAGGGUGCGAGCGUUAAUCGGAAUUACUGGGCGUAAAGCGCGCGUAGGUGGCUUGAUAAGCCGGUUGUGAAAGCCCCGGGCUCAACCUGGGAACGGCAUCCGGAACUGUCAAGCUAGAGUGCAGGAGAGGAAGGUAGAAUUCCCGGUGUAGCGGUGAAAUGCGUAGAGAUCGGGAGGAAUACCAGUGGCGAAGGCGGCCUUCUGGACUGACACUGACGCUGAGGUGCGAAAGCGUGGGUAGCAAACAGGAUUAGAUACCCGUGUAGUC
rnacentral:rRNA from 1 species